UACGUAGGGUGCGAGCGUUAAUCGGAAUUACUGGGCGUAAAGCGUGCGCAGGUGGUCAUGUAAGACAGAUGUGAAAGCCCCGAGCUUAACUUGGGAAUUGCGCUUGUGACUGGCGUGCUGGAGUGUGGCAGAGGGAGGUGGAAUUCCACGUGUAGCAGUGAAAUGCGUAGAGAUGUGGAGGAACACCGAUGGCGAAGGCAGCCUCCUGGGCCAGCACUGACGCUCAUGCACGAAAGCGUGGGGAGCAAACAGG
rnacentral:rRNA from 1 species